ACGAUUCCUGCUUGCAGUGGCUAUGUAGUUAUGGAAGCUCCGGUGACCGGAAGAAAUGUCACGGACAGGAAGUAACAUCAGUAUCACUUCACCGUGCGCAUACUUGGCGCGAAAGUGUAACACAAUGGAGUCCAUAUCGAAGCUUCUGAGAGAAGCGGCAAACAAGCUGGGUGAACUCGACUCUUCGUCGCCAAGACAGUCAUCUGUACCAGCUGCGUCUCCGAGAGAUCCAGUUGAUGCUGAGGUGACAAGCUUAUUCCUACCAUAUCGGAGGUCCUGACCCCCCAUCACAGGCCAAUACCUCGUAACUUUGAGGCCAGAGGAAUUGUUGCCCCAUCAUACUCACACACCUUCUGCUGUUUAAGCAAAAAAUCCACAACUUGGCCCCAAAGCUGGAGCUGGUGAAUGCAGGUUUGGGUGAGAAAAGAAUGACUUCUCAAGGGAAGUCUAUGCUGAGGUCAGUGUUAAUGCAUACAUAACACACUGCAACUUUGUUGGUCGCGGGAGCAGAAUUCUGGACAUAUUGUAGCUUAUUGAGGACUUUGGAUGAAGAGCCAUACAGGAUGCUAUUGCAGUAGUCGAGUCUGGAUGUGAUGAACGUAUGGAUGAGGGUCUCAGCGCCAGAAAAGGAAAGAUGGGUGGAGGAGGGCAGUUCUGGUGAUGCAUGCCACACAAGAGGUCACGUCAUACCUGACAUGUUUGGAGCUCUUCAGUCUUCUUCAGGAAUGGAAGAGCGCUGGCAAACACAUUGCGUAGUCUUAUGAUCAAAAUGAAUAUCAUGAACGCUGAACAUAACAUCUAUAUUCUUUUGUAGGCAAAGAGUCCUGCCCCCAAUAUUUUAAGCAACGUCUGUUUCAUGCAUUCUGGAAGCUGAGUGGAGCUGGGGGAUUUGAGCUUCUUAGGAUUGGAGGCUCAACACGAACACGGGAGUUGUCUUUAGUUUCCUGCCCAAAUACAGGUCUUUUAUGUUGGGCCACUUCAGAGAAGCCUGAACAUGGAUGACGAGCAGAGCGAGUCCUCAGACACAAACGGACCUCUGAUUGCAUGUCUGUCUUGUGGGGAAGAGUUCCAGUUGGAUGCAAUGAAAGUACACAGUGACACCUGUAACAGCACGGCAGGAAAUGAAGCAGCAGUUGUGCAGGCGGGGUCGUCUCAUAACAGUCCCACUGACAUCCAGCCCAGGGUCAUCAGUGCCUUUGAUCAAAACUGGAGGUUUGACUGAUUCAGGGGAAGGCUUCUCAGAAUCAGAGCCGGGCAACGAUUGGAGGACGGUUGAUGAUCCACUGGAGGCCAUAAAGUGUCAUGAAGAAUCCUGGUGAGGAGCUUCACUUCAGAAUGGACCUCAGGGAUUCUAAUGAGGCCAGGCAGCAGACCAUUCUCAGCUUCUACAAAAGACAGAGUGGACUGGACGUCUCCCCUCACCUGUACUCUUGAAGCUACAGCAAGUCAUAUAAGGCAUUCAUUGGUUUAAUAGCUGGAAGAAUUGUAUCUUCUACAUGUUGUUGUGUUCCAACAACAGGUGAUGCAGCAGUCGGGGAUGGUGUGGAACCACACUGCCUUUCCAUCAAUCCAUUUAUGUUCUUGGGUAAUUAUUUCAGGUGCUGGAAAGACCCUGCUGUUUGAGGGUAAAAAGGAUCACCUUGUUCCUGCAGCAUCUCAAGUCUUUGUCCAUAGCGACCUUUUUGUGGUAGCCGGCCCAAUGAUUGGCCAUUCCUGUCUUCACGAUGACCCUUGUUGGACUGGUCCAAGUGAAGCUAUUAUUCAUGUGUUGGGUGGUGGAAUGCCUGAAAUGGCCUCCAUUGAUGUGAAAGACUGCUGCGAUGCAGAUGUCAGGGAGACAGUUGAACAGGUACAGACAUUAUUUUCACCACAAUAUUGCACAUUGAUGUGUUUUCUUUCUGUUUGCUGAGAUUUUGCUUUAUUUUCAACAAUCAGCAGUACAUCUACACCUUAAAGCUACCAAUCACUCUUUUGAGGACAGCAAGGUAAAGAUUUUGGCCAAAGAAAACAGAUGGUUUGAAAGAGGAGUAAAGGAAGCUAUUUUUGUCAAACAACAGAACCCAUCAUUGAAUCGGAAUGGUGGUUUGAGGUUUAAUUUGGACCCUGUGUUCAGCAGGUUACUGAGACCAAAACCCACAGCUCUUAGUCUUGCAAAUGAGGUGGAGCCAGGGCCGAGCCAGAACAAUAGAUGCUAACUAGCCAGUAUCAGAGUCGUUCAUACCC